rnacentral:rRNA from 1 species
GGAAGGAUCAUUACCGAAUUGUCAACAUGAAGUUGUUGCUGGCCCUCAGAUGGGGGCAUGUGCACACUCUGUUUACACAUCCACUCACACCUGUGCACUCCUCUGUAGUACUGUGGUCUGGGGGUUCUGUCCUCCUACUGUGGUUCUGCGUAUUUAUACACACACACUGUAAUAAAGUCUCAUGGAAUGUAUGCCGCGUUUAACGCAAUGAAAUACAACUUUCAGCAACGGAUCUCUUGGCUCUCGCAUCGAUGAAGAACGCAGCGAAAUGCGAUAAGUAAUGUGAAUUGCAGAAUUCAGUGAAUCAUCGAAUCUUUGAACGCACCUUGCGCCCUUUGGCUAUUCCGAAGGGCAUGCCUGUUUGAGUAUCAUGAACACCUCAACUCUCAUGGCUUGCCAUGAUGAGCUUGGACUUGGGGGUUUUGCUGGCCCUACAGUCAGCUCCCCUCAAAUGCAUCAGCUUUCCAGUUUUUGGUGGCACCACAAGUGUGAUAAACAUCUACACGUGUGGUUCCCCACCAUGUAACCUUCAGUGAUGGAGGUUUGCUGGAGCUCACAAAUGUCUUUCCUCAGUGAAGACAGUUCUUUGAUUGUUUGAUCUCAAAUCAGGUAGGACUACCCGCUGAACUUAAGCAUAUCAAUAAGCGGAGGAAAAGAAACUAACAAGGAUUCCCCUAGUAACUGCGAGUGAAGCGGGAAGAGCUCAAAUUUAAAAUCUGAC